CGGAGGAGGGCGGGAUAACCCGAGAGAAGGGGCGCCUUGGGAUCACCGGGAUGGGAGAUUAGAGCUGGCCGGGGAUCCAGGCCUGUAGUUCCCUGGAGGACUUUAAAGGUGACCACGAGCUUAAAUUUGAGGAGCCCAUCUAUUUGCAAGGCUUUAGCAUUCUGUAAGGCACCUGGGAGAACGCAGAGGAGGAGGGGAUUGUCCCCUUUCCGUGUUGGAGUUCUGACUGUUCCUUGGUUAUCCAUUUUCUGUGCCCCUAUUUAGAGAGAUACAGGAUGCACUCACAUUUAGGAUUUAAUUUAAUCAAAUAGUUUCACUUCAAGGAAUUUUCAGUGCCCUCCAAAAAUACUUGGCAUUCACCUCAGGGCUGAAAGAAAAUUAAGGAUGAGGGAACUAAGCACACAAAGCUAAGUAACUCGCCCAAGGACAGCGAACUAAUAAAUGGGAAAGAUGGAAUUCUAUCAGCAGCCAGAGCUGGGGCUCUCAACCAAGAUACAAAGCUGACCUUUCAGGCACUGGACCAGAAAAUGGGGACAUUGCAGUCAACAAGUUCAACAUGACUGCUGCCCUCAUGGUAUGGGGAAUGAUGCAGUGGUCAUAAAGCUAUCCCAGACCUUCACUUCCAAAUUGAAGAUUCU